UCGCUCCUACCGAUUGGGUGUGCUGGUGAAGUGUUCGGAUUGGCAGCUUAGGGUGGCAACACCUCAGGUCUGCCGAGAAGUUCAUUAAACCCUCCCACCUAGAGGAAGGAG
rnacentral:rRNA from 1 species